UGUAAUUUUACCUCAUACGUGAUUUUUGUCGUGUUAUUGAUGUGUAAGUAUCGUAAUAAAUCCGCUGAAGACAGUAUAUAAGCUUACGUUUCGACAGAAAGUCAGUCAGAGAGACAUCUGUAUAUUAAACCUAAAAUAUUUGAUAGCUGCUGCCAUUGCUCUCACGGCAAAAAUGAAGACGUGCGUUCUAAUCGUUCUUUUGGUUGUUGCUGCCGUUGUCAUUGAAGAGACCACCGCAGCCGCGGCCAGCAUGGAAGCAACAUGCACCUGUUGCGGCAACACCUGUUCUGGGUCAAAGUGCCGUUGUGAUGACAACUGUAAUUGCAGCGCCUCUGACAAAGAGAGAGCCGAAUUACGCCAUGCAGAAUGGAGCUAGAGGGAUGAAAGAAAGGGACUGCCAUUAUAGUUCUCUGCGGAGCCAUUAGCCUUGGACUCAAUAUAAAAAAUCACUGAACCGUCUCUACCUGUAAACGUUAUGCUACUGCGGUGAACUGAAAUAUUGCUUCUAUACUAUCAGUUUAUUUACAUGACAUACGGUUAGAAAAAUACAUUAAACACCGAAUAUGUCAACAUUAACUGACGUGUGAAUUAAUUUCAUUUAUUUUUAUAGAAAUAGAGAAAGAUCUCAAUAAAACAGUUUAAUACAAA